GACACGGUAGCUAUUGACAUUGGAAUAGUUGAUACCAAGGAAUUAACUCAGCCAAUUGUUGUAAAUGAACUGAAUGGUAAUGUGAAAAACAUGUGAAAGGCUGCAGGAUUCGAGGGAAAUUACAUAAACCAUUCCGGAAAGAGGACCUGCGCUACUUCCCUUUACCAAGCAGGUUUUGAUGAACAACUCAUUAUGGACAGAACGGUACAUCGCAGCAGGGCUGUACGUGCAUACAAGGUGAAGAAAGAAGACGGAAAAUUUCUAAACGGCACUCGUAUUUCAUUAAAUUUUGUUUGAAAUGCA